rnacentral:rRNA from 1 species
UAGGGAAUCUUCCACAAUGGACGAAAGUCUGAUGGAGCAACGCCGCGUGAGUGAAGAAGGUUUUCGGACCGUAAAGCUCUGUUGUUGGUGAAGAAGGAUAGAGGCAGUAACUGGUCUUUAUUUGACGGUAAUCAACCAGAAAGUCACGGCUAACUACGUGACGG